UACGGAGGGGACUAGCGUUGUUCGGAAUUACUGGGCGUAAAGCGCACGUAGGCGGAUUUGUAAGUCAGGGGUGAAAUCCCGGGGCUCAACCUCGGAACUGCCUUUGAUACUGCAAAUCUCGAGUCCGGAAGAGGUGAGUGGAAUUCCUAGUGUAGAGGUGAAAUUCGUAGAUAUCAGGAGGAACACCAAUGGCGAAGGCAGCUCGCUGGGACGGUACUGACGCUGAGACGCGAAAGCGUGGGGAGCAAACAGG
rnacentral:rRNA from 1 species